UACGUAGGGUGCGAGCGUUGUCCGGAAUUAUUGGGCGUAAAGAGCUCGUAGGCGGUCUGUCGCGUCUGCUGUGAAAACCCGAGGCUCAACCUCGGGCCUGCAGUGGGUACGGGCAGACUAGAGUGCGGUAGGGGAGAAUGGAAUUCCUGGUGUAGCGGUGGAAUGCGCAGAUAUCAGGAGGAACACCGAUGGCGAAGGCAGUUCUCUGGGCCGUUACUGACGCUGAGGAGCGAAAGCGUGGGGAGCGAACAGG
rnacentral:rRNA from 1 species